rnacentral:rRNA from 1 species
CACGUAGGGUGCGAGCGCUGUCCGGAAUUAUUGGGCGUAAAGAGCUCGUAGGCGGUGUGUCGCGUCGGCCGUGAAAACCUGCAGCUUAACUGUGGGCGUGCGGUCGAUACGGGCAUCACUGGAGUUCGGCAGGGGAGACUGGAAUUCCUGGUGUAGCGGUGAAAUGCGCAGAUAUCAGGAGGAACACCGGUGGCGAAGGCGGGUCUCUGGGCCGAUACUGACGCUGAGGAGCGAAAGCGUGGGUAGCAAACAGG